rnacentral:rRNA from 1 species
UACGGAGGGGGCUAGCGUUGUUCGGAAUUACUGGGCGUAAAGCGCACGUAGGCGGCUUUUUAAGUCAGAGGUGAAAGCCCGGAGCUCAACUCCGGAAUUGCCUUUGAGACUGGGAGGCUUGAACGUCGGAGAGGUGAGUGGAAUUCCGAGUGUAGAGGUGAAAUUCGUAGAUAUUCGGAAGAACACCAGUGGCGAAGGCGGCUCACUGGACGACUGUUGACGCUGAGGUGCGAAAGCGUGGGGAGCAAACAGG